UAUUAUUUUUCUCUUUCUUUAGAAUCUUUAACACAAGAUUUUUGUUUUCUAUUUCAACUUUUAGCUGUGAGCUAAGACAUUCUUGGAGCUCAGGUUCUAGCUGAGUCUCCCCCUGUGUGCAUCAUGUCUGGUAUACCCAAGAUCGAAUCUUGUCUCUCUGGCAAGGAGUUGGAAGAAGCAGACGACAUAGUCAUACUCCCCGAAGAAGACAAUUCAUCUCAAAUCGCCAGAUACAAACAUAGUCUUGUGGGCAUCAAGGUGGAAGAAGCAUACACGCUAUGCUGGCUCCUUUACCAAAACAAAACAUCAGGAGUUUGUGGUAUUUCCCUUGGUUAAUCAAGAUUCCAGUCAUUUCAAUCACUGGUCUUUCUCCCUCAAGAGAUCUCUUUGAAUACUUACCCCAAUACAAUAAUAACCUUGUGGAUAAAACCCGUUGGAAUCCCAUCUAUGUACUAGUUGGAGAACACUUUGAAAGCUUUUGGCGACUCAUUGGGUAAGUAUCAGGCUGUGGAUGCCCCAUUUGCUCGAAUUCAGGUUACUAUCAGAGCCCGAAAACAAACUCAGAUCCCUUGUGGAGAUGUUAUUUGGGUCUUGCUCAAGUAUGAAAAGUUGUAUAGGUGGUGUAAGCCCUGCCACCGCCUGUGCCAUGAAAAGCACUCUUGUCUUCUUUGUGUGGCUUGCCCCCAGAAGAUUGCUCUGUUGGCCUUUCUCCUAGAAGGAGUGCAGAUGGUGGCCUUAAUGAGAUUGGAGAGAGCAGAGACCCUCCUAUUGUGCACAGUAGUAGCAGAGCCCAACCUUCGUGGUGCAGUCACCUGCCAAUGAUGGUACUAACCUCUCAGCCUUUCGCCUGCACUCUGAGAUUCUCACACGAAGUAGGACAGGGAAUAUAAGUAAGCAAGAAAGGGAUCCUCGGAAGGCUAGAGCUGAAAGGGUCCAUUUUUCUCAAGGCCCCAAACCUAAUUUGAUGACUCGGGAUCCUCUGCACCAACGUAAAGAGAGGCAACAUAAGAGGAGGUUUGAUGAUAGCUUUCCGAUUGAUUCUAGACAAGUAAGAACAGAGCUGCAACGGUUCAAAGAAAGUUAGUCCCAAACUCUGUUGAUAAGGAAGAUGGAGAUUCUCAAUCUAUCCUAUCUGACUCCCAAAGAACUAUAUCUCUCUUUAGCUAGGUUAGAGCAUAUUGUUUGUUUGAUUGAUAUAUUUCCGAGAAGAGCCGAAUACCACCUGGAAAGCAUUAUGAACGAAAUGGGGGUGCUGAGUCUAGUCAAAGAGUUCCUCCUGCAGACGUACAAUCAUGUGGUGAUCCAGAUUCCGUGCAGACAAUAGCUGGAAGUACAAUGUUGCAAUUUGCAAAAACUAACUAUACAACUUGAGCAACCGUAGCCUCCUUGAGAAGAGACAGUUCUUCCACUCUCAUCGAGCUCAGGUGAUCUAUUUUUUUUAGCUCUCUUGCAAUUGAUUGCUGAUGAUGUGUAUUAUCACAGCCCAUGGCUCUAGAACAAGUACUUUCUGACCGAGAUAGUUGAAGAUACAAGGGUAUGUUUUAGAGUUUAACAUUUUCAUCGCUUUAGGUUACUUUUAUUCAACUCAGAUGUGCUGGAUAAAGCUCAGUAGUUUGGUAGAUAUAUGCUUCGUGUGAAAGGGAAAGGAAUAUUGAAGACUGGGGCAUAGGCAAAUGUUUGAUAGGAGCAAAAUUGUUAUGAUAGAGAGAUAUCAAAAGGAAAUACACGAGCAAGCCUCAUGGUCUGAUAUGGAACAGUAGAACCACAUCUGCUUAUAUUAUAUAACACUGGUUAAAGGACCAAGUGUUUCUGUUUGUUCUCGGUUCUAACAUAGUUUGUCUGGUUCUCCAUUAGUUUACAGCGAAUAAGUU